UGGGGAAUAUUGCACAAUGGGCGCAAGCCUGAUGCAGCCAUGCCGCGUGUAUGAAGAAGGCCUUCGGGUUGUAAAGUACUUUCAGUCGGGAGGAAGGUGGUAAGGUUAAUAACCUUAUCAAUUGACGUUACCGACAGAAGAAGCACCGGCUAACUCCGUGCCAGCAGCCGCGGUAAUACGGAGGGUGCAAGCGUUAAUCGGAAUUACUGGGCGUAAAGCGCACGCAGGCGGUUGAUUGAGUCAGAUGUGAAAUCCCCGGGCUUAACCCGGGAAUUGCAUCUGAUACUGGACAGCUAGAGUCUUGUAGAGGGGGGUAGAAUUCCAUGUGUAGCGGUGAAAUGCGUAGAGAUGUGGAGGAAUACCGGUGGCGAAGGCGGCCCCCUGGACAAAGACUGACGCUCAGGUGCGAAAGCGUGGGGAGCAAACAGG
rnacentral:rRNA from 1 species